rnacentral:lncRNA from 1 species
AGAGGAGAACUGAAGCUCAGCUAUUCACCCUACAGAAAGCCUGAAUUUUGUAAAUGUUCUGCUUAGAAUGAGGAAGAAAGAUGAAGAAUGAGGAGGAAGAAGGGAGGAACAAGAGAGAGAGCCAGGUUUCCAGAAGUUCCCUAGUCAUUGGGCAUUUCUGAGACUCUUGAUGCAUAUGCCAAGUAGUUAUGGAGAAAGACAUAGCCGCUUACCUCUGCAGGCAUCAUUGUGUGAAAGGAAGACCGAGGCUGUCUCACCACCCUUGAAGAGAAGCCUUUUGCUAAGGUGAUAGCUGCAUGUCCAAGCCUAUUGCGUGGCAUGGAUUUUGCCUUCUACAGCCCACUAAAGGAAAUUGAGGUGUACGGAAUGCUUAUUUGGUUGACUCAGUAUCAUCCUAAAUGUAUGAACUAAUGUUUAGGAGUUUGCAGUUCACCCGCAAACCUCAGCGAUCCAAGCUCCCCUGGAUGACCAUCACUCACCUAGAAAAGAACAAUAACAGGACCUGUUUUGCUAAUCCAGGACUGUUCUCCAGCACUAACUCUAAAUAAUCCCUUCUGUUAGAGUCCACUUUCUGGAACCUGUUGCCUCCGUUUUCAACGUUUCCCAAACUUGGUCCGUUGUGUGAGUUGGCUGUUAAAAGUUCCAGAUGCCAGGAGGCAGGCACAACAGUCACUGUCCUGUGGCCUUCAUUCCUUGGGGAAAACACCACAAUGGUCAUCACCUGAACAAAUGGACUGGGGAGAUGUGGAAGUGAAAGAAAGGGAACAUGUAUCAGAGACCCAGUAGCAAUGGAACAUCAAUUGGCACAGAGGAUUUGGGAAGAAGGAACCAGAUUUGAGUAUUUUCAGCUCUAGGUGCUGAAGAUGUUCAUGAUCAGAUAGACAUGGUAGUUGAGGGAAAGAGAGUUUUGGGGAGCCCUUCUCCUUGGAAUUCUAGGUAAGUGAUGAUGCUAUUUACUAAGAGAAGACAUCCAGAAGAAGGAGCUUGCAUUGUCUUUAUUUUGAUUUUAUUUUGGUGGAAUUGAGAAGACGAUGUAUUAUUACUGU